UUUAAGAUGCUGGAUACACGCUUAAUUCCAACAUAUAAAUUUGGUAAACAGGACAAAUUUACAUAAUUUCUGCUCUGACCAUAUAUAACAGUACAUGUGAUUGGAUAUACAAGUUCAUCAAAUACUAUAUCCAAAUUGUAAAUCAUCAAGCACCUAUUAUAUUAAAAUUAAUUCUUCCAUGAUCAUGCCUUGUUUAAACAGAUAAUACAUUUUUUUAAAAUCCCAAUUCAACUAGAAUGAUUAACUGUAACUUACUUAUUUCAGAAUAAGAGGGGAGAUAAAUACUGCAGAUGGUAAUACUGAAAAGACCUUGACAAACUCUUAAUCCAAAUCCACCUUUUGCAGCAUUUUAAGAUCAUUCCAAAGCAACACCACCAAGAAACUUUUUGGAAAUCUACUGAUUUGAUCACUUCACCAUAUUUGGACAAAUUUAUAAAUGUUUGAUUUGUUUUAUGGUUUCAAUCAUCAUCAUCCCCUUUCUGUCACAAUGGAAUUAUCUUACAGGCAUACUAGGCAUGACAAUACUGGGAUUGUAAAACUGAAGGGACUCUGGCUUCAAUUUAAAAUUAUCACUUUUAAUACCACGUCCAAUCUUGCAAACAAUGCAAUUAAUUACAUCUAUGGAGCAAGGAGGAAUGAGACGGACAUAAACAUUUUUGUGAGUGACUAGUCACUACUGCUGCUGGUGCUAGUGCUACGUGAGCGUGACCUGCUACUAUACGACCGUCUAAGCGAGCUACCACUAGAAGAACUUCUUGAAGACGAAGAGGUUGAACUUUGGUUCCUUCUGCCCCAUGGGGAUGCUCUGCUCCAACUUCGAGAUCGACUUCUACAAUAAAAAUACAUAGAGAAAAAAAAAUUCUUCACUGCAUAUAAGGGAGUGGCUGCUGUAGUGCAUGUGGUUACAACCACCACUGUACAUUGAAUGGUAAAGGUAAAGGUAGGUGGUUUGAUGAUUAAUGGAACCAAAAACAAAGUUAAAAAAAAUUGCAAUGCAAGAAUCGUGUCAAAAGGUGCAGCAGAAUACCUUACAACUAUUAUACAAAAUGGUUAAAACCCCCCUGGACACCACAGGUACAGGAACACCACAACCCUCAUCCCCUCAGACAAAUCAGAAACAUCCUGGAUCUGACAUAACACCUGCAUUACAUGAUAUUUAGACUGAAGAUUACAGUACAAUCAUUACUACCAACCCAUAAAAUUGUUUGUGUCCUUGGGCAAAGCAUUUUACAUAGUCUUUUCACCAUGGUGUAGUGUGGAUACCUAGUAGGUUGAAAUGCCAACGAUUUACUAUGCUGCAAAAUACACUAUUGAUUAAUUCUGCCACAGGGUGCCAAGAGCCAAUGAUCAGAGAUUUAAUGUGAAGCACACAGAGACCUUUAAUUUAAUUAAUUUCAUAUAUAAUACUGACAAAUUAUGAUGACAAUAACACAUGGUUAUUACUCUUGUCAUAAGUUAGUAGUUAAGUUUGGACAACCACAACACAAGGAAGGCAGUUUUUUUUGUAAGAACAUUUAUUUCCAAUUAAAAGUAAUAAAAAAGGUUAAAAAGUGUUCAGAGCAACUGAUUGGUAUUUAUGCUUUCCAACAAUAGGCACCAGAGACGACCCUUCAAUAUUGUGUUUUUUCUUACCACUACCAGUGACUGAGACACCCAAUAACGAUGACAGAGAUACUGAUAUCGGAAACAGACCUACCAAUAUCAAUGACAUUUACUACAUUGCUACCAGUGACAGACAUACCUAUACCAGAGAUGACAAUACUGAAAUCAGUAUUAAACAGUGUGGAUCUUUAUCAGAUCACAUAAUUUAUGUAUGGUGCACAUUUUAGCUUGCAAAAGCAGGACUAGAUGUAUCUAUGCUUUUAUCACAGUAAAAAGCUUCAAUGAUCAUUAGUUGGAAUUUGUUCUUUUUUUCUACUCUUAUAAAUCCAUCACAACAAAAAUUUACAUCUUAUACUGUAAUUAAAAAAAA